rnacentral:lncRNA from 1 species
GCAAGCAGGACUGAGAACUUGCGCCAGACUACCCUAGCCUUCCAGUUGUGAAAAUAAGUAGCGUUUUCCUUCUUCCCCUGCCUGUGGAGUCUGCACACCAGAUUCACGCCCUCCCACAAGUUCUGGCCAGGAGACUUCUCUAUCGGUUCAAAUUGUUAACAACGUUCAGCUGGAGGUUUCUUUCUCCCCGGUUCAAAUUGUUAACAACGUUCAGCUGGAGGUUUCUUUCUCCCCGUGGCCUUUUCCCAGUGCCUCUGGCAGCCCUCCUCGAGGAUCCCUGUGAGGCAAGGGAGAAAUGGCUUGGUAGGGGACCCAGCGAGCCCACAGGGAUUUUCCUGCUGCUUCCUCUACCCCUCUAUUUCACUCUGCUCUCUAGUUCGACUCAACUCCAGGACACAGCUUAUCUGCAGUUAAUAACCGGCAGAGAAAGAGCAGAAGGAUAUAAGAACAUCAACUUAAUUUCCCAACUUCACUGUGAUCUGCCUAUCAACCCACACCCAUGGAACAAUCCUAAUCAGAAGACACAAGGGGCUCCAGGGCCUUUGGCCACAGACUGAAGGCGGCACUAUCAGCUUCCCUACUUUUGAGGUUUUGGGACUCAGACUGAUCCACCACUGGCUUCCUUGCUCCUCAACUUGCAGACAGCCUAUUGUGAGACUUUACCUCGUGACUAAGUGUUAAGCCAAACAGAUUCUAUGGCUUCCACACAAAUGAGUAAGUGAUGAAGUUUAUGUACAUGAACAUUGCCGGUGCUGAUGAUCUUCCAAGAAUCUAAGGAUGGUUUAUAAUCAGCUAUAGGACUUUAACAGCUGCUCUCAUAUGCAGAUUACUGAUAACUUUGGAGACUGUGACAUUGGAAUAGAGGAAAACCUACAGGACUCAUGAAGAGCUGAAAUGUUCACGAAUAUCAAGAAGAACAAGAGUUAAACAUAUGUAUUUAUAAAACUUUGAAACAUAUUUUAUCUUCUCUCAACUCCUGUGACUCCAUACCCAAUAUUUACAGUAUUAAAACUUAUAGAUUUCUGGCAUUUCAACCACUGUUGUCUAAUACUGUAUGGAAAUGUAUAACUCUUAAAAAUGUUCAAGUUGAUCUGAGCUAAAGCAAGAAAAAAAUGAGCACAAAGUAAAGGAAGCAAUUCUAAUAAUUGAAACAACAAACAACAAAGAAUCUGAUAGAGAAAACAUUUCCUAAAGCACAGAGUUAAACAAAACUAGAAAUGUGUAAAUGUAUGACAUCAAGUACUGUAUGAAAAGUGCAUUUUUUAGUUUAGAAAAUGUAGUGAUGAUCUUUAUUAUGCACUUAUGUAAAUGUAGGGUACAUACCCAAAUACUAAGACUAUGUAGUAGGUGCUGUAAUAAAUUUAUUCAGAAAUUUUUUCAAAAAUUUCUUUUCUUACAGUAAGAGCCUUCAACAAUAUUGAACCUUCAAUAAGAAUAAUUUAUCUCAACAAUACAUUAGUUCAUUUCACAUGUAUUACACAUCUAACAUGUUAUCAGACACAAUAAAUACAAAAAUUAAUAACAUUAGUUUUCUCAAAUGAUGUACAGCCAAUCAGUUUCUUGACAUCUAUAAGCAAAGAGGCCAAGUAAGGCAAAAGAUCUUAGUUCAACAAGUUUCCUCAGUGAAGGGCAAUAGAAGGGGUCAAUAGGGUAGAGAAGGAGAAAUGAGAUAACUUUAGGUCAUUUGCAGGGGAAGAGCAUGAGAAUGAUGCACAUCAAAUAGGUAAGUAUUAAUAUAAAUUGAAAGCUAAUACACACCAUGGAGACACUGGAUUCUGCAGAAGAGCACAGUCAGCAGGAUAGGAUAUCAGAGGCACAUAUGAAGGGCACGUAAAUAAAGCUAUUAGGUAAAACAAAAGUAUAUUCAUUGAGUUUAUAGCUUUGCUUGCAUGUUUUAGUUUAUGUUCCCCAAAACAGAGUUCAUAGAACAAAGUUUCCCAGCUGAGUGCAUACUGUUAAUCCUGAUCAUAGGAGCACCAAAACAUCUUCAGUGAAUCCAGCAAAUUCCAUGCAUAUAACUCCUUGCCUCUGUUUGGUAGCAGACGUUGUAUUUCCUCAUAAUAAUCAAGGUCUAUUAUCUAUGAUUGAAAAGAAACAUUUCUUUAUCUGAUUGUCCACUCGAUUGAGAAGCUCAAAGGGACCAAGUAGUGCUCCCAACAUUAAGUUCAGUGGAAUGGUGAUUGGGCCAACUGGUGAAAGCAUUGCCUCCUGGGAAGCCAAGACCUUUCAGUCAGUAGAACCCUAAGGCUGAAGAAACUAGAAAUACAAAUACUGGAAGUGAGUCAGCAGGAGUGAUGGUAAAAAAUGUCAAACUUCCCUAUACCCCUUGGAAACAUUAUUUAGCAUUUGACCACAGAAUGAUAUGUCAGUCUUGGUUCCAUGACAAUACUGUAUUCUGUACGAUAUAACUUUGACUGUACCAUGUUGUCAUCCACAACAAUUGCUUUAGGCAAGCCUUUAAGAAAUUAUAAUAAAGGUCUAACAGGCCACAGGUUUUCAGGUGAUACAGCAAUCAGU